AUUGAACGCUGGCGGCAGGCCUAACACAUGCAAGUCGAACGGUAACAGGAAGAAGCUUGCUUCUUUGCUGACGAGUGGCGGACGGGUGAGUAAUGUCUGGGAAACUGCCUGAUGGAGGGGGAUAACUACUGGAAACGGUAGCUAGUACCGCAUAACGUCGCAAGACCAAAGAGGGGGACCUUCGGGCCUCUUGCCAUCGGAUGUGCCCAGAUGGGAUUAGCUAGUAGGUGGGGUAACGGCUCACCUAGGCGACGAUCCCUAGCUGGUCUGAGAGGAUGACCAGCCACACUGGAACUGAGACACGGUCCAGACUCCUACGGGAGGCAGCAGUGGGGAAUAUUGCACAAUGGGCGCAAGCCUGAUGCAGCCAUGCCGCGUGUAUGAAGAAGGCCUUCGGGUUGUAAAGUACUUUCAGCGGGGAGGAAGGGAGUAAAGUUAAUACCUUUGCUCAUUGACGUUACCCGCAGAAGAAGCACCGGCUAACUCCGUG
rnacentral:rRNA from 1 species